AUACGUAGGGGGCGAGCGUUGUCCGGAAUGAUUGGGCGUAAAGGGCGCGUAGGCGGCCCGGUAAGUCUGGAGUGAAAGUCCUGUUUUUAAGAUGGGAAUUGCUUUGGAUACUGUCGGGCUUGAGUGCAGGAGAGGUAAGUGGAACUCCCAGUGUAGCGGUGAAAUGCGUAGAGAUUGGGAGGAACACCAGUGGCGAAGGCGACUUACUGGACUGUAACUGACGCUGAGGCGCGAAAGUGUGGGGAGCAAACAGGAUUAGAUACCCUGGUAGUCCACACUGUAAACGAUGAAUGCUAGGUGUAGGGGGUAUCGACCCCUUCUGUGCCGCAGUCAACACAAUAAGCAUUCCGCCUGGGGAGUACGGCCGCAAGGUUGAAACUCAAAUGAAUUGACGGGG
rnacentral:rRNA from 1 species